rnacentral:rRNA from 1 species
UCAAGCUAAUAAGGGCUAAUGGUGGAUACCUAGGCACACAGAGGCGAAGAAGGACGUGGUUACCGACGAAAUGUUCCGGGGAGUUGGAAGCAAACGAAGAGCCGGAAAUAUCCGAAUGGGGCAACCCUAAAUACUACCUGUUGAAUAUAUAGACAGGAAAGAGCCAACCCAGCGAACUGAAACAUCUUAGUAGCUGGAGGAAGAGAAAUCAAAACAGAGAUUCCCUAAGUAGUGGUGAGCGAAAGGGGAAAAGCCUAAACCAACGAGUUUACUUGUUGGGGUAGUGGGACAGCGAUGUCGAAUCACUGAGACUAGACGAAACAGCUAAAUACUGUACCAGAGGGGGUGAAAGUCCCGUAGUUGAAAGUCAAAGGAUAGUAGCUGCAUCCCGAGUAGUACGGAGCACGAGGAAUUCCGUAUGAAUCAGCGAGGACCACCUCGUAAGGCUAAAUACUACUGUGUGACCGAUAGAGAACAAGUACCGCGAGGGAAAGGUGAAAAGAACCCCGGGAGGGGAGUGAAAUAGAACAUGAAACCAUAAGCUUACAAGCAGUGGGAGUCCGAUUAAACGGAUGACCGCGUGCCUGUUGAAGAAUGAGCCGGCGACUUAUAGGCACUGGUAGGUUAAAGCGAGAAUGCUGGAGCCAAAGGGAAACCGAGUCUGAAGAGGGCGAAAAUCAGUGUUUAUAGACCCGAACCCUGGUGAUCUAACCAUGUCCAGGAUGAAGCUUGGGUAACACCAAGUGGAGGUCCGAACCGACUGAUGUUGAAAAAUCAGCGGAUGAGGUGUGGUUAGGGGUGAAAUACCAAUCGAACCAGGAGCUAGCUGGUUCUCCCCGAAAUGUGUUGAGGCGCAGCGGUAAUGAUUAAAUCUGGGGGGUAAAGCACUGUUUCGGUGCGGGCUGGGAGACCGGUACCAAAUCGAGACAAACUCAGAAUACCCAGAGAACACAUUGCCAGUGAGACAGUGGGGGAUAAGCUUCAUUGUCAAGAGGGAAACAGCCCAGACCACCAGCUAAGGUCCCCAAAUCAUCACUAAGUGAUAAAGGAGGUGAGAAUGCCUAGACAACUAGGAGGUUUGCCUAGAAGCAGCCACCCUUGAAAGAGUGCGUAAUAGCUCACUAGUCAAGCGUUCUUGCGCCGAAAAUGAACGGGGCUAAGUGAUGUACCGAAGCUGUGGGAUUACUAAUCAUAAUCGGUAGGGGAGCGUUCCGUAGUAGGGAGAAGCAGUAGCGGCAAGCAGCUGUGGACGAAACGGAAGUGAGAAUGUCGGCUUGAGUAGCGCAAAUGUAUGUGAGAAUCAUACACCCCGAAACCCUAAGGGUUCCAGAGCCAGGUUCGUCCCCUCUGGGUUAGUCGGGACCUAAGGCGAGGCCGAAAGGCGUAGUCGAUGGACAAAGUGUCAAUAGUCACUUACUGUUCUGUGGGAGCAUAGGCAGGGACGCAUGAAAGAUAGCCAUACCCUAAUUGGUUUGGGAGGGGUUUACGAACUCCGAGUGGUGAAGGAAAGUGCCAAGAAAAGCUGUGUAUGUGAUGAAGAUAGAACACCCGUACCCGAAACCGACACAGGUAGGGAGGUUGAGAAUACCAAGGGGCGCGAGAUAACUCUCUCUAAGGAACUCGGCAAAAUGGCCCCGUAACUUCGGAAGAAGGGGUGCCCACCUCAGACGUGGGUCGCAGUGAAGAGAUCCAAGCGACUGUUUACCAAAAACACAGGUCUCCGCUAACUCGCAAGAGGACGUAUGGGGGCUGACGCCUGCCCAGUGCCGGAAGGUUAAGGAAGCUGGUUAGCGUUAGUGAAGCUGGCGACCGAAGCCCCGGUGAACGGCGGCCGUAACUAUAACGGUCCUAAGGUAGCGAAAUUCCUUGUCGGGUAAGUUCCGACCCGCACGAAAGGCGUAACGAUUUGGAUGGUGUCUCAGAGAGAGACUCGGCGAAAUAGGAAUGUCUGUGAAGAUACGGACUGCCUGCACCUGGACAGAAAGACCCUAUGAAGCUUUACUGUAGCCUGGAAUUGUGUUCGGGCUUGGCUUGCGCAGGAUAGGUGGGAAGCGA